rnacentral:sRNA from 1 species
GAGUCGACCGGAUCGAUGGCCCGUUUCACGACGAGGUAGUCACGCAGCACGAUCGCGUGCCGGUUGUC